AUGCAGUCGUACGAUGGAUCCCGCGUAUACGGGCGGGGAUUAGUGGCGAACGGGUGAGUAACACGUGGGCAAUCUGCCCUGCACUCUGGGACAAGCCCUGGAAACGGGGUCUAAUACCGGAUAUGACCGUCUGCCGCAUGGUGGAUGGUGUAAAGCUCCGGCGGUGCAGGAUGAGCCCGCGGCCUAUCAGCUUGUUGGUGAGGUAGUGGCUCACCAAGGCGACGACGGGUAGCCGGCCUGAGAGGGCGACCGGCCACACUGGGACUGAGACACGGCCCAGACUCCUACGGGAGGCAGCAGUGGGGAAUAUUGCACAAUGGGCGAAAGCCUGAUGCAGCGACGCCGCGUGAGGGAUGACGGCCUUCGGGUUGUAAACCUCUUUCAGCAGGGAAGAAGCGAAAGUGACGGUACCUGCAGAAGAAGCGCCGGCUAACUACGUGCCAGCAGCCGCGGUAAUACGUAGGGCGCAAGCGUUGUCCGGAAUUAUUGGGCGUAAAGAGCUCGUAGGCGGCUUGUCACGUCGGUUGUGAAAGCCCGGGGCUUAACCCCGGGUCUGCAGUCGAUACGGGCAGGCUAGAGUUCGGUAGGGGAGAUCGGAAUUCCUGGUGUAGCGGUGAAAUGCGCAGAUAUCAGGAGGAACACCGGUGGCGAAGGCGGAUCUCUGGGCCGAUACUGACGCUGAGGAGCGAAAGCGUGGGGAGCGAACAGGAUUAGAUACCCUGGUAGUCCACGCCGUAAACGGUGGGCACUAGGUGUGGGCAACAUUCCACGUUGUCCGUGCCGCAGCUAACGCAUUAAGUGCCCCGCCU
rnacentral:rRNA from 1 species